rnacentral:lncRNA from 1 species
AUGCAGGGACACAUCAUCUACGGCACACUCAGCUCUCGGUCGGAGGCUUGUGCGGCGGCUUCUCUCCCUUCCCCUUCUUUGGCUCCUCCCCUUUCUUCGGUGGCUCGUUCUCAGGGCCUUCCACCUCCUCUACGAGAAUGUGCCCCUCGUGCGGUGGCUUGCCUCCCUUCCCCUUCUUUGGCGGCUUAGUGUCCUCUUCCACCUCUUCUGCGAGAAUGUGCCCCUCAUGCGGUGGCUUGCCUCCCUUCCCUUUCUUCGGCGGCUUCACGUCCUCUUCCACCUCCUCUGCGAGAAUGUGCCCCUCAUGCGGUGGUUUGCCUCCCUUCCCUUUCUUCGGCGGCUUCACAUCCUCUUCCACCUUCUCUACGAGAAUGUGCCCCUCGUGCGGUGGCUUGCCUCCCUUCCCCUUCUUUGGCGGCUUAGUGUCCUCUUCCACCUCUUCUGCGAGAAUGUGCCCCUCGUGCGGUGGCUUGUCUCCCUUCCCUUUCUUCGGCGGCUUCGCGUCCUCUUCCACCUCCUCUGCGAGAAUAUGCCCCUCGUGCGGUGGCUUGCCUCCCUUCCCCUUCUUCGGCAGCUUUGCGUCCUCUUCCACCUCCUCUGCGAGAAUGUGCCCCUCGUGCGGUGGCUUGCCCCCCUUUUUCUUUGGCGGCUUCGCGUCCUCUUCCACCUCCUCUGCAAGAAUGUGCCCCUCGUGCGGUGGCUUGCCUCCCUUCCCCUUCUUCGGCGGCUUUGCGUCCUCUUCCACUUCCUCGGCAAGCAUGUGGCCAGGGUGGUGGGGCGGUGUCUUGCCGGGGAAUGGCUUCUUGUGGGAGUCCUCCUGUUCGGCCUCUUCAACGAGGAUGUGCUCAGGAGGGUGGUGCGGGGGCUUGGGUUUGGGGAAGGGCUUUUGUGAGUCGUCAACUUGGACGUUCUCGAGGAGGCGGCGACCCCCAACAGGGGGGUGCUUGUGGGGAGGUUUGUCCCCUUUCGGUGGCUUGGGAUCGUGGCCAUCGCAGAAGACGGUGGCGGCAAAAAGCGCCGCUCCUAGGAGCAACACUAGCAAGUACUUAGAAGACAUCGUUUGCUUCAUUUUUGCUAGAAGAGGAUGUAUGAGCUGAUGGUGUUGGAGUUAGAAGCGAGGGAGUGUCCCGAUUUAUAGUGGGUUUCGAACUUAUGUCGUCGUCAGCAAGCAUGUCACCCGGUCCCUCGGAUUUUGCCUCUCGCCUUCGCUACGAAACAGCGCGUCUCUUAGGUCUGUGUUCUAUUGGUUGCUCAAGAGUGUGAUAGAGUGGGGCCCGCCUUGGAUAUAGGGAUUUGCUUUGGGGUAGAAAAGUUUGACAAUCAGCCUAAUGCCUAAUUAACUAAUCUCUCUAAGUUUGACAAUCAGCCUAAUGCCUAAUUAACUAAUCUCUCUAAUUAACUGCUCCCACUGGAUAGAUUUGCACGGCCGGAUGGCAAUAUGGUGGGGUCCAUCUUCGGACGUUGGGAGUGCUUGAUCUCUCAAUUCCUUGUGACAAUUCUCUUUCUUGGAAAAGCAGGAGUAGAUUCACACGCAUAGCACAUUGGAGUAGUAGAGGCUCUUACCUUCAAUGUGAAAAGCUUUUACAAUGCAACCACAGAUUGAAUUUAUGUUGGAAGGCGGUGGUUGAUAUGGAACCAAAGACUUGUUUAUGAGCGAAUGGGCAUAAAACUACAUCUUAAAAGAGAACAAUACUAGAUAUAUUAAUACCGAUAAGAGGGGCAUGUCGGUGAUAAGUUUAAUAAUUCUUAAAUUGAAAUAAGGUAAUGUUAUUCCUUUCGUAUAAUCCACAACCAGCUAUUUGGACGCAUUUCUACAAGUCCUUUUAAAACUGGUUAAGUUCAUGGGAUUAGACCAAUAAUAAUAAUAAUAACAACAACAAUAAUAAUAAUAAUAAUAAUAAUGAUGAUGAUGAUGAUGAUGGUAAUAAUUGCUUAGCUAAUACAUGGGACUAGAUUAAAGCAAGAGUAACAAUGACAUACUUAUUCCUUAGUUUGUUUCACAUGAAGGGAUAACUAUUCUGGGACUAUGUUCGUUAAGGGAGAAUAGCUCAAAAAGUUAAAAACUUAUUACACUUUUGCCAAUUCAAUCAUAAAUCUUUUAAUUUUGCCAAUUGAGUUCUUAUUUGCAAUCCUUCUCACCUUUAGCUAAUUAAGUGCAUACGGCCAAUUUUGAUUGAAAUUUGUUAAUAUGGAUGACAGUUGUUCUACAUAACAUGGCCAACACUGAUAUAGAUAAAAUUUUUUUAUUUAUAAUUUUUGAAUUUUAUGAAUUUUUCUUUCUUUUUCUUUACUUUUUAUGGUUAUUUGGAUUAAGGGUAGGCAGCCCUUGUCUGCUUUGGGUGAGGGCCACGACGUCUUCACUGACUACUAGGCGAGGGUCACGAUGCCCUCAUGAGCCAAAUCGAGAGCGAGGGCCAUGAUUCCCUCACCUAGUGCCAUCUUAAAUAGCACUGAUACCAACAUACGACAUACGAUACAAUACGACAUGCCAACAUAUUGUUUCUAAAAAAUUAAAGAAUUUCAACAUGUUAAGACCCGUUGUAUAUUAAAGGUAUAUUUUUUAUAUACAUGAUUAUUUUAAUAAAAUUAAUUUUAUUCAAAUUCACAAAUAAACAAAUAAUAAAAAGAGAGCCUAGAAUGAAUUUACACUAAAAAUAUUAAUCUACCAUUUGUUAAUAUCAUCUAUUGUUUCAAUUUGACAAAUUCAACUCCAUUUUAAUAAUCUAUAAAACUUAGAAAAAAAACAAACAAUCCAUAUUCUGGACUUGUGUGUCAGAGUGUGUCAGAGUGUGUCAGAAGAGAAGAAAAAAAAACUUGGGCGGUGAAUUGUGUGUUACAAGAAGUGAGAGUUAAAAGAGAAGAGAAAACUAUGUUUUUCUUCUUUUCCUCUUCGUAUUUUUAAUAUUUUUUACAUAUUUGCAUUUUGAUCCCUCAUUUAUUGAAAAUUUUUAAAAUUGACCAAAUACGUGUCGAAAUCAUAUAACAAAAUCUUGAACUCGCAUAUUGGAAUUCCAAACUCACAUACCAAAUAGUGUCGGGAGAAUUGACUAGAUGUUGAAUUUUCCAACACUUAUUAAUAGAGUGUCGCAAAGUGUUGGACAUGUGUCAGAGUGUCUAACAUGACAAGAAUGCUCCCGGAUAGUAUUGGUGCUUCCCAAGUGUUAGCAAGGGUCAUUGGCUCUCAAUCUAGAAAAAAUAAUGUAAAAAAAAAAAAAGAGAAAGAAAAUAUCUAAAAAAGAUUAUUAAAAUAUUUUUAAAAAAUAUUUAUAUCAGUGUCGGUCAUGCCAUGUAGAGUAAUCGGUGUCCAUGUCAUCAAUUUUUUGCAAAAAUUGAUUGAAUGGAUUCAAUUAAUAAAAAGUGAAAGAGUUUAUGAUUCAUUUGAUAAAAUUGAAAGUGUAAAACUCAAAGUAAACCAUGUGAGCCUUUGAGAUUUUGACCAGCUGGGUCCAGGUUGAGAGAGAGAGAGAGAGAGAGAGAGAGAGAGAGAGAUUUUGCGGCGUCUUUUCUCGGUUUCCCAUUUGAGAUGGUGACCCUCUGAUUUGAUACGUACAUAAAACGUGGAGGCAUUAGAGACGAUGAGAAAAGGGCCCCCUAGUCAUUAUCGUCUUGUCUAUUCUUUUCCUUAUCUCGGCAAAGUAACAUUUUGCACGAAAACUAGGGGGGAGGAACAUUAAAACGUUGUUCUAACCAAAAAGAAAAAAAUUGAACCAUUGAAAAAUUGUUAGUAUGAGCUCAACCCGUCAAACAACAGAUGACUUAGGUCAGAAUUUAAAUAGUCUAAUCCAAAUAGACUCAUUUAAUUUAUUUUGACUCUUUUUUUUUUGGGUAAGAGAUAAGAAUAAUAUUGACUUUUGAACUAAGAGCUACACAAAAGUACAGCAAAAGGCUGGCUCCAAAAAACUUGCACUAAAAAAGACACAGGCCUCAAUCCGAGUGGAAGGGAGUCGGGGAAAGCUGCACCAGAAAAACAGAGAAGGUAGAAGCAGCAGCGGAAGCCAACACAGAGGCAAGGAAGAAAUAAACAAAAGAAGGGGCAACAACAAUGAAACCCCAAAACUACAGAAACAGACAGGGGAGCCAAACGGAGAAACCAAGGCCACACCCGGCAAAGCAAACCAAAAGACAGCUCAACUAAGAAGAACCAUCAACAGCAGCACGGACGAGCAGAGCAGAAAGCAGCAUCACCCAGUAAUCCAACAGCUCAGCCUCCGAGAAAACCAAAGGGACGAAAGCAGGGUCAAAAUAAACUUAAUAAUCCAUGAUGAAUCCAAUUCAUAUCGUUAAAAUGCUCUGAAAUAAGAAUGCGGAGUGAGUAAGUAUGAGAUUAGGUGAAAGCGAGAAAAAUUGAAGAGAGACAUAGAAAUAUGUUCGGUUUAAGUAAGUUGAAAAUCCAUAUAUGAUCUAUUUAAUACUUAUAUUAUGUUUAAACCCAUUUAUGACAUAUUUACUCAAUAUAACUAAUAUGUUUAUAACCCUUAUGGGUUAAUAAUUGAAUUUGUGACCCAUUUUGAUGGGUCUAGUACGAGCUUGUGACAUGGGACAGAAAUGUGGAUUUUCAUUAGAUGCAUAGAAUGUCCAAGCCUUUUGAUUUAUGUGAUCUCCAUCGAUGUGGGCUUUUCCCGUCAUGUCGAUCGAGGGGGGGGGGGGGGGCGAGCAUGGCUCUCGAGUCAUUACAUAUGUAUUGGGAGAAAAUCUUUGGGAGCUACCGCUCAAGUUUAAGUUAUAAGAAGAGUGGGCGAUCUACUGCGUAAAUACCUUGAAACUCCCUUUCUCGCAUAAGUUAGACUUUGAUCUAAGAUUUAUGAGGUGAGCAUUGAUUCAAUAUAUAAAUUUUCUAAUACUCCCCCUCACGCAUAAACAACUUAUUUUAGACUUAUGGUUAGCCAAUGGCUAUAAAAUCAAUUGGUUUGGUUCUUAAUUUCAAUUUUUUGUAACCAGUGCUCGAAGGGUUGGUUUCCAAUUGUAUGUCCAGAACCGAUCACCCAUAUUAACAUUAAAGUGUGUAACUGAGAUCAUAUCUAAUCUGAAAAUAAUCACUCUAAUAAAAUUGAAAAGUGCAAAUUGAAAAUAUAUAAAUGGCAUUGCCCCUCCCUUUACCCUCUUAAAUAUAUAUUGAAAAAGUUUAAGCCGUUGAUUCAGGCAUGAUUUAAUACCUCAAGCAUGGCAUUCACACUAAAUCUCACUAAACAACCUCAUAAAUCUCCGACACCCUAUGUUCUCUGUGUACAAGCCAUCUUCCUUUCCCUUCUCCCUAGAACAACCUGCAAUUACUUAAUUCGAACCUGAUGUCACCGCGCAUGUCAGCCACGACAACGACUUCACUGGAUCGUGCACCGGAAUGAAUAAAGAACCGAGACAGAGAGAGAGAAAGGGAGAAACAGGGUAGACCGGAUCGGGAGACUUCAGGAUUUGCGAUCGUGGAUUGCGAUUUUGGUGGCAAAAGCCAGUGUGAACCGUUGAAAAGGUGGACAUUUCGCCUCGUGGGGUUAGUUACAACAAAAUCCUCUUUUGACUCGAACAGCGCCGACAUCGGUUGGGAGGGGGAUCGUCGUGCGUAUUUCACCUGGAUCUCAGACUCGAUUCGGCUUUAGAAGACGUAGCAGACUCGACCAAGGUUCUUGACGUCUCAUCCCUCAUCCUUCCGUUUUCUGUGGUUUAUGUGAUUAUGACGGACUUCUAAAUUCUUCCACUGCGACUUAUUCUAAGGAAAAUUUACCUGUUAUCAUUAUGGAGUCCUUUCUUGUUUCUUGUAAUCAAUAUCUACAAAAGAUAGAUCCUAUUAUAUUUAUCAUGUACGAAAAAGUUUUUUUUGAAAUACUCAUUAAAAUUAUGAGUGAUUAGUUUUAGCGUGGGAUGGUUUCCACCCCCACAAUCAUGAAAUGACCCACCUGACUUUGAAACCAAAUCGAAUUGGAACCAUUUCUCAAAUGGAUCCGAGAAUUGAUGAGGAUUAUCUUUCUUUUCUUUUUCUCUACGCAGAGUCAUUCGUUCGCUUGCUCAUUAAAUAACAUACUCUCAUACUCUGUAACACCCCCAUAAAUAGUAACAGACCACUGCUCAAAUCUCUCACCCCUUGCUUCUUCACUGACCAACAACAACGCUCUCUAGGAUUCCCAAUCUCCAUUGGAAUUUCCGUUCUUAGAAAAUUAAAGGAAAAGGUACGUUACAAAACAAACACCAAAAGAGGGAGUCCCAUGACUGUGUGAGACUGAGAAUGAGAGUGAGAAGUGAGAGGCGUGAGACUGAGUGAGCAAGGGGAACUGAGGGAGGCAUAGCGUGAGACCGAGAGUGACAAGAAAGAGGAGUGAGAUUGAGUGAGAACCAAGAGGGAUGAGUAGGGAGAGAGAAUGUGAAAUUAGGGUUUUGAGAAUUGAUUUGUAAUAAUAAAAAUUAUAUGUAAAAAAUUAUCAGCCCAGUUUAGAUGGUUCGGGUGGAUCGGUCCACAUUGAAAUCAAGAACUAAAUCGAUAAUCACCAGUUCCAAAUCACUAAUUCAGUCUAGUUUUGUGCUUAUCCCUAUCAAAAAUAAUAUAUGAAGUAUUAAUUUUAGUCAAGCCAUGGUUUCGGUGACAAUUUAACAGUUGACUAAAUUGGAUGAAAUCACCAAAGUUUGUGUCAUGUUUCGUUUUCCUUUUUAAAAGAUGCCCACUGAGUUGCUUGGAGUGCCCAUCGAGAUGCUUACUAAAUUCUUUCUUUAUGUUUGACUUUUUAUUAUUUAGUUUAGGCCCUUGCGCAAACUUUAAGAAAAGACAAAUAUGGGCAUAAACUGUCAAAAAGAUGACUCAAUUAGAGGAACAGUCGUGGUCUUCGCAGCUGUGGUCGUGCAUACACGCCAUUUUCCCUUCGAAUUAAGCGAUCGCUCGCGGAAUUCGCUUCUGGGUCUUCCUCCCCUUCCAAUUUAGCGAUAGCCCGCAAGAGGUUUUGCUUCGUCCACGGAGGGGAGAUGCGGUCCGAUCCCGAGCGUGCGUUCGUGGGUCGUCCGCUAAAGCUGAGGUUCCGUCCACGGCUCGCCACUGAUCCGCUGCGCCGGCUGGGCCUUUUGGGCUCGCAGCGACUUUCGCGCUCUUUUUCGAAUAGUGUAAGGUUAGGCAUUUUCAAUGGGAUAACGACGGCGAGAGUUUGGAGAAUUUGGGUUGAUCCAUUCAUCAUAGUCCUAAUAACAUCGUUUUCCAAUUUUGAAGUCCUAAAACUUGCCACUAUUUUUAAUGUCAGCUAUCCUGCUAAUUCCGUCCAUUUUUCUUGCACGGAAAAUUCCAAUGACCUCUUCUUCUUCUUUUUUUAAAAUUAAUUUUCAUUUAUUUUUUGGACUAAGACCAUUGAUGUAGUGCUAAAUAACCAUCCCAUUAAAGAAAAAUUAAACAUUCCAAAAAGAAAAUUGGCAAUACCAAAAUAGAGUGACUAGAAGGCAAGGAUUAGAAUACUAGCCUCUUUUGUUGUGACAAUAAUUAGAGAUCCUCACCAGGUUACUGACUAGGGCUGUCGCCCUCACCACAAGCAAACGCUUAGUGGCCAUGGGUUCCCUAUGGCCACUAGGCAAAGGUUGUAUUGCAGCUGUCAUGCUUGGGACCUCGCUCGAUUGUGGCUAGGGCCUAGCCAGGGCCAGCUCGUGCCAAGGGCAAUAACGGAGAUGAUGCUGCCAUCUCCCUUGUUGUACAUCCGUGCCCGCCCAAUCCCUCUCUCCUUUCUUUAUUAAUUUCCCCUUUAUUUUUUAUUUUCAGUUUUUGAAUUUAAUGGAAAAUGACAUUAUUUUUGUGUUAACAAAAAUCGCUUUGUACUUUAACAACCUUUACUAGUAAACAACAACACGCGUGCAAAAGAAUAACGAAAAGAGCGGGUUGAAUUUUCCAUCCACUAAAAGCUAACAGGAAAAUUAAUGUGAUGGACGGCAAUUAAUUUUAUAACUUAAAUACAUGAAAUUCAUAUAAGUUAUGAGGACUCUCGUUACCUUUGCUACACAAAUUCUAUACCUGUUUUUGGGAGCAGAAAAACAAACUUAUUUUGUUCAGAAAAUGAUAUUAGUGGCCAGAAUAAAUAAGACAAUAAGAAAAAGGAAAUGCCCGGGAGCAUUGAUCAAUAUCGCAAAGUGAACGAGAAAGUCAAAAGCAGAAAUACCACUUGAGGAAAAAUAAAAUAUUCACGAUCAACGGUGAGGAAAGGCCCCUAAAGCUUCUAAUCCUUGUGAAAGAAAUUAUAUAAUUUCGACCAAAAUUCCUGUCUUGCCCCUUCCGACAUAAAAAUUUACAUAAUCCAUAUCUUGCCAUCCGCCACGUGGAACCCACUUAUCUCGUGAAACAGCAAUAUAAGAGGGCAAGAUCGUCAAUUUCAAAAAGGGGCACCAUUAGAAUUCUCAUCCGUGGCGUUCGAAAGGGGCACGUGUACACAGUACGUAAAGGAUAAAUGCUUCAUUCGUUUUGGGAAAUGAUUAUUCAUUUCCUAUAUUCCUAAACAGAAAUGAGUAGGGAACGGUGCUGCUAUUUCAGAAAAUGAAAGGUGCAAUGUGACGACAAGUAUCAAAGAUAGAUAAUGGAAGACUCAUCAGUGAAAAAAAAAAAUUAAGGUAAACAUUUAGAGCAUAUCUAAGUAGACUCAAAAGUUUUAAAUUACAAUAUUUAAAAUAGAAAAUAUUAUUUUCUAGCCAAAGUAAAGAUUUAGAAUAAAAGAAACUUAAUAACACAAAAAGAAACUUUAUAUGGAAUACGAUUGAAAAUCAUUUCUUUUUAUUUUAACUUUAGUUUUGACUCAUGUGAUCCUAAAAUUGAUCUUGUAAUGUUUUAGGUUCUUAUGUAUCUUCAUCUACAAGUUAAGAAUCAAUAGGUAAUUUUUUUGUCUACUAAUUUAUUAUUAAUGAUUUCUUUUUAGUUAGUGAUUACGUUUUUUUACUCGUGAUUUGUGGUUAUCUAUAUUUCAGUAUUUAAUUUGUUUUUCCAUCCUUCAUAUUUAAAAAAUUCCUCUUAAUGAGAUUUGUGAGAGUUUCCUUUUUAAAUUAGUGCUUCUUAGGCCUUUUUAAAUCCUCUAAUCUAAUCAUAAUUUAAGCCAAGAAAAUAUAAAGCAAUGGGAAGUAAAAAAAAAUAAAAAUUGAAACUGGUGGAACCCAUCUCCCAAUUUCCUCCAUAAACAUGCGCGGCUAAAAUUCGACGGUUCCUACCGUCACAAAAGCCCCACGGUUAGCUAGCUGGGCUCAUUUCUAAAGCAAAUAUUUUAGGACGCGGUCCGAUGGAUCCUCUAUAGUAAUGGAGUAUAAAAAUACGUUGCGUCCGAUGGAUCCUCCGAUCAAUGCUACCUAUGCGGCAUCAUCUAGCAAAUACGAAAUUUCUAGGUGUUUUGAGUAAAUAUAUAUCGAAACGCUUUUUGUCGGUCGAGAGCCAAUGGUAACAUCAGAGAAGCAUAGGAUUACACACAAUAAUCUACAUCGACCGACACAAAGCGAAAGAGCCGACUCCAAAACAGAACAUAGCUAAAAGACGAGCCAGAGAACGAGAGAGUAGCGAUACAAGACUGUCCAUUCAGUAAGACUCAGAGAAAUCGCACUGAUAGUGUACAUAUAAUCGGAUUAGCACAGCUCUUAUUCCUAAUGCAUAACGAGCACAUGCAGGGACACAUCAUCUAGGGCACGCUCAGCUCUCGGUGGGAGGCUUGUGUGGCGGCUUCUCUCCCUUCCCCUUCUUCGGCUCCUCCCCUUUCUUCGGUGGCUCGUGCUCGGGGCCUUCCACCUCCUCUACGAGAAUGUGCCCCUCGUGUGGUGGCUUGCCUCCCUUCCCUUUCUUGUGCGGCUUCGCGUCCUCUUCCACCUCCUCUGCGAGAAUGUGCCCCUCGUGCGGUGGCUUGCCUCCCUUCCCCUUCUUCGGCGGCUUUGCGUCCUCUUCCACCUCCUCUGCAAGAAUGUGCCCCUCGUGCGGUGGCUUGCCUCCCUUCUCUUUCUUUGGCGGCUUCGCAUCCUCUUCCACCUCUUCUAUGAGAAUGUGCCCCUCGUGCGGUGGCUUGCCUCCCUUCCCCUUCUUCGGUGGCUUCGCGUCCUCUUCCACUUCCUCUGCAAGAAUGUGCCCCUCGUGCGGUGGCUUGCCUCCCUUCCCUUUCUUUGGCGGCUUCAUGUCCUCUUCCAACUCCUCUGCGAGAAUGUGCCCCUCGUGUGGUGGCUUACCCCCCUUUUUCUUUGGCGGCUUCGCGUCCUCUUCCACCUCCUCUGCAAGAAUGUGCCCCUCAUGCAGUGGCUUGCCUCCCUUCCCUUUCUUCUGCGGCUUCGCGUCCUCUUCCACCUCCUCUGCGAGAAUGUGCCCCUCGUGUGGUGGCUUGCCUCCCUUCCCCUUCUUCAGCGGCUUCGUGUCCUCUUCCACUUCCUCGGCGAGCAUGUGGCCAGGGUGGUGGGGCGGUUUCUUGCCGGGGGAUGGCUUCUUGUGGGAGUCCUCCUGUUCGGCCUCUUCAACGAGGAUGUGCUCAGGAGGGUGGUGCGGGGGCUUGGGUUUGGGGAAGGGCUUUUGUGAGUCGUCAACUUGGGCGUUCUCAAGGAGGCGGCGACCCCCAACAGGGGGGUGCUUGUGGGGAGGUUUGUCCCCUUUCGGUGGCUUGGGGUCGUGGCCGUCGCAGAAGACGGUGGCGGCAAAAAGCGCUGCUCCUAGGAGCAACACUAGCAAGUACUUAGAAGACAUCGUUUGCUUCAUUUUUGCUAGGAGAGGAUGUAUGAGCUGGUGGUGUUGGAGUUAGAAGCGAGGGAGUGUCCCGAUUUAUAGUGGGUUUCGAACUUAUGUCGUCGUCAGCAAGCAUGUCACCCCGUCCCUCGGAUUUUGCCUCUCUCCUUUGCUACGAAACAGCGCGUCGUUUAGGUCUGUGUUCUUUUGGUUGCUCAAGAGAGUGAUAGAGUGGGGCCCGCCUUUGAUAAAGGGAUUUGCUUUGGGGUAGAAAAGUUUGACAAUCAGCGUAAUGCCUAAUUACCUAAUCUCUCUAAUUGACUGCUCCCACUGGAUAGAUUUGCACCGCCGGAUGGCAAUAUGGUGGGGUCCAUCUUCGGACAUUGGGAGUGCUUGAUCUCUCAAUUCCUUGUGACAAUUCUCUUUCUUGGAAAAGCAGGAGUAGAUUUACAUGCAUAGCACGGUGGAGUAGUAGAGGCUCUUACCUUCAAUGUGAAAAGCUUUUACAAUGCAACCACAGAUUGAAUUUAUAUUGGAAGGGCGGUGGUUGAUAUGGAACCAAAGGCUUGUUUAUGAGCGAAUGGGCAUAAAACCACAUCUCAAAAGAGAACAAUACUAGAUAUAGAAAGACCGAUAAGAGGGGCAUGGCGGUGAUAAGUUUAAUAAUUCUUAAAUUGAAAUAAGGUAAUGUUAUUCCUUUCGUAUAAUCCACAACCAGCUAUUUGGACGCAUUUCUACAAGUCCUUUUAAAACUGGUUAAGUUCAUGGGAUUAGACCAAAAAAAAAAAUAAUAAUACUAAUAAUAAUAAUGGUAAUAAUUGCUUAGCUAAUACAUGCGACUAGACUAAAGCAAGAGUAACAAUGACAUACUUAUUCCCUAGUUUGUUUCACAUGAAGGGAUAACUAUUCUGGGACUAUGUUCUUUAAGGGAGAAUAGCUCAAAAAGUUAAAAACUUAUUACACUUUUGCCAAUUCAAUCAUAAAUCUUUUAAUUUUGCCAAUUGAGUUCUUGUUUGUAAACCUUCUCACCCUUAGCUAAUUAAGUGCAUAUGGCCAAUUUUGAUUGAAAUUUGCUAAUAUGGAUGACAAUUGUUCUACAUAACAUGGCCAACAUUGAUAUGGAUAAUUAAUUAUUUUAUUUUUUUUUUAAUAAUUUUUGAAUUUUAUGAAUUUUUCUUUCUUUUUCUUUCUUUUUCUUUACUUUUUUUGGUUAUUUGGAUUAAGGGUAGGCAGCCCUUGUCUACUUUGGGCGAGGGCUAUGACGUCUUCACUGACUACUAGGCGAGGGUCACGAUGCCCUCAUGAGCCAAAUCGAGGGCGAGAGCCACAAUUCCCUCACCUAGUGCCAGCUUAAGUAGCACUGAUACCAACAUGUGACAUACGAUACAAUACGACAUGCCGACAUAUUGUUUCUAAAAAAUUAAAGAAUUUCAACAUGUUAAGACCCGUUGUAUAUUAAAUGUAUAUUUUUUAUAAACAUGAUUAUUUUAAUCAAAUUUACAAAUAAAUAAAUAAUAAAAAUAGAGCCUAGAAUGAAUUUAUACUAAAAAUAUUAAUCUACCAUUUGUUAAUAUCAUCUAUUGUUUCAAUUUGACAAAUUCAACUCCAUUUCAAUAAUCUAUAAAACUUAGAAAAAAACAAAAAAAACAAUCCAUAUUCUGGACUUGUGUGUUAGAGUGUGUCAGAAGAGAAGAAAAAAAAAACUUGGGCGGUGAAUUGUGUGUUACAAGAAGUGAGAGUUAGAAGAGGAGAAAACUAUGUUUUUCUUCUUUUCCUCUUCGUAUUUUUAUUAUUUUUUAUUUUUUGCAUAUUUGCAUUUUGAUCCCUCAUUUAUUGAAAUUUUUUAAAGUUGACCAAAUGCGUGUCGAAAUCAUAUGUCAGAAUCUUGAACUCGCAUAUUGGAAUUCCAAACUCGCAUACCAAAGAGUGUCGGGAGAAUUGACUAGAUGUUGAAUUUUCCAACACAUAUUAAUAGAGUGCCGAAAAGUGUUGGACAUAUGUCAGAGUGUCUAACAUGACAAGAAUGCUCUUGGAUAGCGUUGGUGCUUCUCAAGUGUCAGCAAGGGUCAUUGGCUCUCAAUCUAGAAAAAAAAAAUGUAAAAAAAAAAAAAAGAGAAAGAAAAUAUCUAAAAAAGAUUAUUAAAAUAUUUUUAAAAAAUGUUUACAUCAGUGUCGGUCAUGCCAUGUAGAGGGAUCGGUGUCCAUGUCAUCAAUUUCUUGCAAAAAUUGAUUGAAUGGAUUCAAUUAGUAAAAAGUGAAAGAGUUUAGGACUCGGCAAAAUUGAAAGUGUAAAACUAUUUUAGCAAAAUUUAAUAGGUUUAGGAUUUUUUGGACAAUUUUCUCAUCAAUUAAUGUAUUGGACUAUCCAAACACAGCUAUUCAAAUCCAUGAUAGUUUUAAAGUUGAAUUUUAUCUAAUUAAAAAGGCCAUAUUUUCCUCCGUCUUCCUAUAUUAUGUAAUAUUACUAUGUAUAUUGCUAAAGUGCAAGCAAAUUAAGGAUCGUAAGUGAAUCAUAAUUAAGAUACGUGUCGAUUAUAAUCAUAACUUAAUUUUUUUGGAUAUAUACUUUAAAAAAAAAAGAUAAAUAGGGAUCGUGUAAGCGCUAUAAGCUUCCUCUAAAUAUGGGUUAUAUCCAUGUUUCUAAAUCAGAAAAUUGGUUGAGAAAAGCUUCAUCCAACAAAGAUGGAGGAAGACAGUCCCAUUAGUUUCAAUUUUCUACAUAAUUCAAUGUAUUAAUUUUGUAGGUUACCCUUAAUAUAUCUUCCAUUAAUGACCCGAAUAUCAUCACACAAUAUUGGAGGUAUUUAUCGAGAUGAUUAUCACCCAGAUAUACGGGCUAAAAACUCAAAUCAUAGAUUGAAAGAGUGAUGCAUAAUGCAUAUAUCUUCCAUUAAUGACGCGGUCCGAUGGAUGCUCUAUAGUAAUGGAGUAUAAAAAUACGUUGCGUCCGAUGGAUCCUUUGAUCAAUGCUACCUAUGCGGCAUCAUCUAGCAAAUACGAAAUUUCUAGGUGUUUUGAGUAAAUAUAUAUCGAAACGCCUUUUGUCGGUCGAGAGUUGAUGGUAACAUCGGAAAAGCAUAGGAUGACACGCAAUAAUCUACAAUGUCCGAGGUCAUGUCGAUGCACCAAGCAUACAACCGACACAAAGCGAAAGAGCCGACUCCAAGACAGAACAUAGCUAAAAGAUGAGCUAGAGAAUGAGAGAGUAGCGAUACAUGACUGUCCAUUCAGUAAGACUCGAGAGAUCGCACUGAUAGUGUACAUAUAAUCAGAUCAGCACGGCUCUAAUUCCUAAUGCAUAACGAGCACAUGCAAGGACACAUCAUCUACGGCAUGCUCAGUUCUCGGUGGGAGGCCUGUGCGGCGGCUUCUCUCCCUUCCCCUUCUUCGGCUCCUCCCCUUUCUUCGGUGGCUCAUGCUCGGGGCCUUCCACCUCCUCUACGAGAAUGUGCCCCUCGUGCGGUGGCUUGCCUCCCUUCCCUUUCUUCGGCGGCUUUGAGUCCUCUUCCACCUCCUCUGCAAGAAUGUGCCCCUCGUGCGGUGGCUUGCCCCCCUUUUUCUUUGGCGGCUUCGCGUCCUCUUCCACCUCCUCUGUGAGAAUGUGCCCCUCGUGCGGUGGCUUGCCUCCUUUCCCCUUCUUUGGCUCCUCACCUUUCUUCGGUGGCUCGUCCCCAGGGAAUGGCUUCUUCGAGUCCUCUUCUGACUCCUCAACAAGAAUGUGGCCCUCGUGGGGUGGCGGCUUUUCGCCUUUCUUCGGGGGCUUGUUCUCGGGGAAUGGCUCCUUUGUUUCCUCGGCGAGCAUGUGGCCAGGGUGGUGGGGCGGUUUCUUGCCGGGGAAUGGCUUCUUGUGGGAGUCCUCCUGUUCGGCCUCUUCAACGAGGAUGUGCUCAGGAGGGUGGUGCGGGGGCUUGGGUUUGGGGAAGGGCUUUUGUGAGUCGUCAACUUGGACGCUCUCGAGGAGGCGGCGGUUGUGGCAGUCGCAGAAGACGGUGGCGGCAAAAAGCGCCGCUCCUAGGAGCAACACUAGCAAGUCCUUAGAAGACAUCGUUUGCUUCAUUUUUACUAGAAGAGGAUGUAUGAGCUUGAUGGUGUUGGAGUUAGAAGCGAGGGAGUGUCCCGAUUUAUAGUGGGUUUCGAACUUAUGUCGUCGUCAGCAAGCGUCCCUUGGAAUUUGCCUCUCGCCUUUGCUACGAAACAGCGCGUCGUUUAGGUCUGUGUUCUAUUGGUUGCUCAAGAGUGUGAUAGAGUGGGGCCCGCCUUGGAUAUAGGGAUUUGCUUUGGGGUAGAAAAGUUUGACAAUCAGCGUAAUGCCUAAUUACCUAAUCUCUCUAAUUGACUGCUCCCACUGGAUAGAUUUGCACCGCCGGAUGGCAAUAUGGUGGGAUCCAUCUUCGGACAUUGGGAGUGCUUGAUCUCUCAAUUCCUUGUGACAAUUCUCUUUCUUGGAAAAGCAGGAGUAGAUUUACGUGCAUAGCACGGUGGAGUAGUAGAGGCUCUUACCUUCAAUGUGAAAAGCUUUUACAAUGCAACCACAGAUUGAAUUUAUAUUGGAAGGGCGGUGGUUGAUAUGGAACCAAAGACUUGUUUAUGAGCGAAUGGGCAUAAAACCACGUCUUAAAAGAGAACAAUACUAGAUACAUUAAGACCGAUAAGAGGGGCAUGACGGUAAUAAGUUUAAUAAUUCUUAAAUUGAAAUAAGGUAAUUAUUCCUUCCGUAUAAUGCACAACCAGCUAUUUGGACGCAUUUCUAUAAGUGCUUUUAAAACCGGUUAAGUUCAUGGGACUAGACCAAUAAUAAUAGUAAUAAUAAUGGUAAUAAUUGCUUAGCUAAUACAUGGGACUAGAUUAAAGCAAGAGUAACAGUGACAUACUUAUUCCCUAGUUUGAUUCGCAUGAAGGGAUAACUAUUUUGGGACCAUGUCCUUUAAGGGAAAAUAGUUCAAAAAGUCCUAAACCUAUUACACUUUUACUAAUUCAAUCAUAAAUCUUUUAAUUUUACCAAUUGAGUUCUUAUUUGUAAACCUUCUCAUGAUUAGCUAAUUAAGUGCAUACGGCCAAUUUUGGUUGAAAUUUGCUAAUAUGGAUGACAGUUAUUCUACAUAACAUGGUUGACACUGACAUAAAUAAUUUUUUCAUAAUUUUUGAAUUUUGAAUUUUUCUUUCUCUUUCUUUACUUUUUAUGGUUAUUUGGAUUAAGGGCAGGUAGCCCUUGUUGGCUUUGGGUGAGAGCUACAACGUCUUCAUCGACUACUAGGUGAGGGUCAUGAUGCCCAUAUGAGCCAAAUCGAGGGCAAGGGCCACGAUUCCCUCACCUAGUGCCAGUCUAAAUAUCACCGACACUGACACCGACACGCGACAUACGAUACAUUACGACAUAUCAAUAUAUUGUUUCUAAAAAAUUAAAGAAUUUCGACACGUUGAGAUCCAUUGUAUAUUAAAUAUAUAUUUUUUAUAUACAUGAUGAAAUAUCAUUUUUAUAAUUAUUUUAAUCAAAUUAAUUUUAUUCAAAUUCACAAAUAAAUAAUUAAUAAUAAGAGAGCCUAGAAUGAAUUUACACUAAAAAUAUUAAUCUACAAUUUAAUAUCAUCCAUUGUUUCAAUUUGACAAAUUCAACUCCAUUUUAAUAAUCCAUAAAACUUAGAAAAAAGAAAAAACAAUCCAUAUUCCGGACUUGUGUGUUAGAGCAUGUCAGAAGAGAAGAAAAAAUAAACUUGGGCGGUGAAUUGUGUGUUAUGAGAAGUAAGAGUUAGAAGAGAAGAGAAAACUAUGUUUUUCUUCUUUUCCCCUUCUUCUUUUUAAUAUUUUUAAUAUUUUUUAUUUUUUAAAUAUUUGCAUUUUGAUCUCUCAUUUAUUGAAAAUUCUUAAAAUUGACCCAAUGCAUGUCGAAAUCAUAUGACGGAAUUCUGAACUCAUAUAUCGGAAUUCCAAACUCGCGUACCAAAUAGUGUCGGGAGAAUUGAUUAGAUGUUGGAUUUUCCAACACCUAUUAACAAAGUGUCGAACAAGUAUCAAAGUGUCUGAUACAACACGAAUGCUCCUAGAUAGUGUCGAUGCUUCUUAGGUGCUGGCAAGGGUCAUCAGCCCUCAACCUAGAAAAAAAGAAAAGUAAAAGAAAGAGAAAGAAAAGAUCUAAAAAAGAUUAUUAAAAUAGGUCUAAAAAAAGUCUACAUCAGCGUUGGUCAUGCCAUGUAAAGCAAUCAGCAUCCAUGUCAUCAAUUUCUUGCAAAAAUUGACUGAAUGGACUCAUUUAGCAAAAAGUGAAAGAGUUUAGGACUCACUUGGCAAAACUGAAAGUAUAAAACUAUUUUAACAAAAUGUAACAGUAUUGGACUAUCCAAACACGGCUGUUCAAAUCCAUGAUAGUUUUAAAGUUGAAUUUUAUCUAAUUAACACAAAGGCCAUAUUUUCCUCCGUCUUCCUAUAUUAUGUAAUAUUACUACGUAUAUUGCUAAAGUGCAAGCAAAUUAAGGAUCUUAAGUGAAUCAUAAUUAAGAUACGUGUCAAUUAUAAUCAUAACUUAAUUUUUUUGGAUAUAUACUUUUAAAAAAAGAUAAAUAGGGAUCGUGUAAGCGCUAUAAGCUUCCUCUAAAUAUGGGUUAUAUCCAUGUUUCUAAAUCAGAAAAUUGGUUGAGAAAAGCUUCAUCCAACAAAGAUGGAGGAAGACAGUCCCAUUAGUUUCAAUUUUCUACAUAAUUCAAUGUAUUAAUUUUGUAGGUUACCCUUAAUAUAUCUUCCAUUAAUGACCCGAAUAUCAUCACACAAUAUUGGAGGUAUUUAUCGAGAUGAUUAUCACCCGGAUAUACGGGCUAAAAACUCAAAUCAUAGAUUGAAAGAGUGAUGCAUAAUGCAUAUAUUAUUGUUGCAUAUUUCUACAUGGACUUUUCAUCCCUCCCUUCGUGCUUCACCUCCUAGUUAUUUUCUUGAUCUUUCAUUGGGAAUUUACAAAUUAACAUAGAACACUCUUGUUUUGUUGUUAAUUUGUUUAGUCCAAUCGCAAUUUAGUCAAGUACCUUCAUUAAACCACAGGCUUCCACUAUACUUAAUUAUAAAGAAUAAUCCAGAGACUUUUACUUGUGGUUAGUAUUGAAUAUAUUGUCAGUGAAUAAAUUAUAUGCGUCCUAGCCAUGCCAAACAUGAAGAAUAACGAAGCCCGUCACACGCAACCCAACGAGCCUUCGUGACAUUGGGCAAGUUUCACUGUUCCAAUUGAUGCGCAUAUGAAUGGAAAGCAUGUGGGCCUUUGAGAUUUUGACCAACUGGGUCCAGGUUGAGAGAGAGAGAGAGAGAGAGAGAGAGAGAGAUUUUGCGGCGUCUUUUCUCGGUUUCCCAUUUGAGAUGGUGACCCUUUGAUUUGAUACGUACAGAAAACUUGGGGGCAUUAGGAGACGAUGAGAAAAGGGCCCCCUAGUCAUUAUUGUCUUGUCUAUUCUUUUCCUUAUCUCGGCAAAGUGACAUUUUGCACGAAAACUAGGGGGGAGGAGCAUUGAAACGUUGUUCUGACCAAAAAGAAAAAAAUUGAAACAUUGAAAAAUUGUUAGUAUGAGCUAAAACCGUCAAACAACAGAUGAGUUAGGUCAGAAUAUAAAUAGUCCAAUGCAAAUGGACUCAUUUAAUUUAUUAACAAACUUAAUAAUCCAUGAUUUAUAUUGUUAAAAUAUUCUGAAGUGAGAAUGCGGAAUGAGUAAGUACAAGAUUGGGUGAAUGUGAGAAAAUUUGAAGAGAGACAUAGAAAUAUGUUUGGUUUAAGUAAGUUGAAAGUAAGUUUAAACUCAUUUAUGACAUAUUUACUCAAUAUAACUAAUAUAAUUAUAACUCUUACGGGUUAAUAAAUGAAUUUAUGACCCAUUUUGAUGGGUCUAGUAUGAGCUCGUGACAUGAAAUAGAAAUGUGGAAUUUUUAUUAGAUGCAUAAAAUAUUUGAGCCUUGUGAUUUGUGUGAUCUCCAUAGAUGUAUGCAAGGCUUUUCUUGUCACCUAAAUCGGGGGGCGAGCAUGGCUCUCGAGUCAUUACAUAUGUAUUAGGAGAAAAUCUUUAGGAGGCUACUGCUCAAGUUUGAUUUAUAAGAAGAGUGGGCGAUCUACUGCGUAAAUACCUUGAAACUCCCUUUCUCGCAUAAGUUAGACUUUGAUCUAAGAUUUAUGAGGUGAGCAUUGAUUCAAUAUAUAAAUUUUCUAAUACUCCCCCUCACGCAUAAACAACUUAUUUUAGACUUAUGGUUAGCCAAUGGCUAUAAAAUCAAUUGGUUUGGUUCUUAAUUUUAAUUUUUUGUAACCAGUGCUCGAAGGGUUGGUUUCCAAUUGUAUGUCCAGAACCGAUCACCCAUAUUAACAUUAAAGUGUGUAACUGAGAUCAUAUCUAAUCUGAAAAUAAUCACUCUAAUAAAAUUGAAAAGUGCAAAUUGAAAAUAUAUAAAUGGCAUUGCCCCUCCCUUUACCCUCUUAAAUAUAUAUUGAAAAAGUUUAAGCCGUUGAUUCAGGCAUGAUUUAAUACCUCAAGCAUGGCAUUCACACUAAAUCUCACUAAACAACCUCAUAAAUCUCCGACACCCUAUGUUCUCUGUGUACAAGCCAUCUUCCUUUCCCUUCUCCCUAGAACAACCUGCAAUUACUUAAUUCGAACCUGAUGUCACCGCGCAUGUCAGCCACGACAACGACUUCACUGGAUCGUGCACCGGAAUGAAUAAAGAACCGAGAUAGAGAGAGAGAGAGAGAGAAAGGGAGAAACAGGGUAGACCGGAUCGGGAGACUACAGGAUUUGCGAUCGUGGAUUGCGAUUUUGGUGGCAAAAGCCAGUGUGAACCGUUGAAAAGGUGGACAUUUCGCCUCGUGGGGUUAGUUACAAUAAAAUCCUCUUUUGACUCGAACAGCGCCGAGGGGGAUCGUCGUGCGUAUUUCACCUGGAUCUCAGUCUCGAUUCAGCUUUAGAAGACGUAGCAGACUCGACCAAGGUUCUUGACGUCUCAUCCCUCAUCCUUCCGUUUUCUGUGGUUUAUGUGAUUAUGACGGACUUCUAAAUUCUUCCACUGCGACUUAUCCUAAGGAAAUUUUACCUGUUAUCGUUAUGGAGUCCUUUCUCGUUUCUUGUAAUCAAUAUCUACAAAAAAUAGAUCCUAUCAUAUCUAUAAUGUUCGAAAAAGUAUUUUGAAAUACUCAUUAAAAUGAGGAGUUAUUGGUUUCAGCGUGAGGCAGUUUCCACUCUACAAUCAUGAAACAACCCACCUGAUUUUGAAACUAAACCGAAUUGGAACCAUUUCUCAGAUGAAUCUAAGAAUUGAUGAGGAUAUAUUUCUUUUCUUUUUCCCUAUGCAGGGUCAUUGGUUCGCUCGCUCAUUAAAUAACAUACUCUCAUACUCUGUAACACCCCCUCAAAUAGUAACAGACCACCGCUCAAAUCUCUCACCCCUUGCUUCUUCAUUGACCAACAACAACGCUCUCUAGGAUUCCCAAUCUCCAUUUGGAAUUUCCGUUCUUAGAAAAUUAAAGGAAAAGGUACGUUACAAAACAAACACCAAAAGAGGGAGUCCCAUGACUGUGAGACUGAGAAUGAGAGUGAGAAGUGAGAGGCGUGAGAUUGAGUGAGCAAGGGGAACUGAGGGAGGCAUAGCGUGAGACCGAGAGUGACAAGAAAGAGGAGUGAGAUCGAGUGAGAACCAAGAGGGAUGAGUAGGGAGAGAGAAUGGGAAAUUAGGGUUUUGAGAAUUGAUUUGUAAUAAUAAAAAUUAUACGUAAAAAAUUAUCAGCCCAGUUUAGAUGGUUUAGGUGGAUCGGUCCACAUUGAAAUGAAAAACUAAAUCGAUAAUCACCAGUUCCAAAUCACUAAUUCAGUCUGGUUUUGUGCUUAUCCCUAUCAAAAAUAAUAUAUGAAGUAUUAAUUUUAGUCAAGCUAUGGUUUCGGUGACAGUUUUACAGUUGACUAAAUUGGACGAAAUCACCAAAGUUUGUGUCAUGUUUCAUUUUCCUUUUUAAAAGAUGCCCACUGAGUUGCUUGGAGUGCCCAUCGAGAUGCUUACUAAAUUCUUUCUUUAUGUUUGACUUUUUAGUUUUUAGUUUAGGCCCUUGCGCAAACUUUAAGAAAAGACAAAUAUGGGCAUAAACUGUCAAAAGGAUGACUCAACAUUUCACUACGCCGAAUUUCUGUUGAUUUUACGGAUCACUAGAGCUUUUGGCCCUAAAUACUCUUCACAAAUGUGUGCAGAUCGUCUUGUCUAGACGUCCACUUCAGUCAUAAAAGGCGGAUAUGCCCUCAAAGCUACUUAGUAGAAUAAUCCAUAGAGUUAUUACCUGCAUUUGCAAUGGCUACAACAGUACCACAUAUAUCUAUGUAUUAAAACCUUCAUUACUCAGCCGCUCAUAGAAGAACAUAAAGUUAAUCGGUUCAAAAUGAACCUAAUGCUUCGCUAAUCAAUUGUACAGAAGUAGUUUGAGCAUGGUACACCGCGGAUCUUGUCUACAUCAAUUAACAACUUGUUACUUUCCUUGUCAUCCUAAAUGGGGUUAGGAAGUACUUGGUCGUCUCACUUUACUAAAUUCAACCCACAAUGACAAGUAAAACAUGAGUUUUCCAAUCAGCAAUUAUGGUAUGUUAGAAUAGUUUUGGUUUAUUAUAUAGAAUCAAUAGCGUGUCUUAAUUAUCUGUGAGAUUAUUCUCUUACAAUUACACUUUUCUUAGUAGGACACAAUGAAUUCCAUGGUACUAUAGUUAUAACCACUGUUUUCACUCUUAAAUUGAAAGGUUUCAAUCCCUACUUUAGAUUUUCGUCUAGGUAAUCUUUUGUUUGGGAAGGAUCCAUAAAUCCCUGGAGGCGGGUACGGUCCUAGAACGAGGAUGCCAUUGCAACCUACGGGAGUCCCACAAAGGCUGCCGGCACUGUUUCUUUCUGCUCCACUCGCCACAAGUGCAUGGAUCGUCAAAGGCUGCGCAUCAGCCUGUAGCUGUGCAUGCCUAACGCGAUCUGCCACGUGGCGCGUGGAGCGAGUACCCACCUGAUUCUUAUUCGCCCCGUUAUGGCUCAAUCUGGCUUGGCUCUGCGAAUCGAAGGUCACCGUCCUAACUGACAUCGGCAGUGACGUCAAUAUUAGAAAAUAAAUUCAUAAUACCAUCAUAAUAUAUUGAUUGAAUAUAAGUUUUUGAAUCUAAAGCCUCGACAUAAUUAAUGGUCGCGCUUGUUUGUGUUCUCAAACCCAUGUGAGUCUCGCCAAACUUUGGAACAGAAAACCUUGAAAUUGUUCAUUUUAUAAUUCCGCGGGUGCAACGUGUGUAGGUGUUCUAGGUUCUGUUAGCCCAUGCGAUGCGCUUACUCGUAAAAUGAGAAUAUUAGUUAUAUAAUAAACUUGUGUGCACUAUCACGUUUGAAAAUUCGCUAAAUUCAGGUAUGCAAAAAUUGUGAAACUUAAAUUUCUACAAGUUCAAUUACUAUUGAAGAGUUUUCAUUGACCAAAUACCACAUUGAUGCAACACAAUAAUAGUUAAUCAAAAAACCGACUACGUUUGUGGGGACUUGCCCAUUUCACGAGUCAACAUGAAUUUGAUACGAACCCUUAAUAUGAUGCAAGCACCCAUCUAAUGAAAAACAAUUGGCAUCAAUCUGCUAUUGAUUAUAGCUAGGGAAGCUUUCAACUUGAAUUGAACUAAUAAGAAUUUUUCUUAGAUCACAAAGACUUUUAGAUUGGCAUGAUAUGUGACAAUUUUACUCACGAAAAAUCUUUGAGUAUAGCCAUAAAGCGAAGUUCUUCAUGAACAUUUGCCUACUCAAAGAUGGAUUUGCACGAUGCAAAAUUGGACUAAAACAUUCGAUUAGAGAGUGAUAUGGCUAGUAGAAAGCUAGAGAGUAUAGAACAGCGCUCCUCACUUUCAUUUUCAAUAUAGUUGAUUGUUGACACCUGAAAUUUUAUUGGCAUUUUUUAAAUGUCCAUUUACUUUGCAUAUAAGAAAAAGAAAAAGAGAUAGGAAGCAAAAAAAAGAAAAAAAGAAGAAGAAAAAACAAAAUGAAAAAGGGGAAACGCUCGUGCAGGGGGGGAUUUCGAUGAAAGAGCUUUUCUCUCUCUUGACAUUUUUUUCUCUCUCUCCCUGGGUUCCCGUUCUCUCGGGAAAACGGGAGCUCUCUCCACUCACAUACUCUCUCCUUGGAUUCUCUCUCCUUUGGCCGUCUCCAAAACCGAUGAUCUCUUCCUCUGAAUCGGCGGUUAGGGCCCUUCCGCAAUGGCGCUGGCCACUCCUUGAUUCAGCUGUCGUGCACGGUAGCCGCCCCGAUCUAGCCCCGCGCUCUGACAUGGCGCUCGAGAAGAACAGCUUCGGUGCUAGCGGCGGCCCCGAUGAGGCUUGUGAACUUUAGCUUGUGCAGGAGGAAAUCUCUCUCCCUUACUGAUUCUCCCAUAGCAACAGAGAGAAGCGAGCAACCUCCUCCUUCGCUGAAAUUCCCGUCUCCGGCCGAGUGGAGUGGGAGUUUGUUGUGGAUUCCGCCGCCAGUGUUCGCCUACGUGAGAAAGACGGAGAACUGCUCUCUUUUUUUCUUCCUUUUUCUCUCGGUUUUUCUCUCGGAAACUGACUCUUUCUCGAUCGAUUGCUCUCAAGCGCUCGAUUAGAAGUUCUCGCUCUCUCUGCAAAACGGCCAAAUGAUCUUGGAGUUUUACACGAUCCUCCUCGAUCCCCUGGUUGAUUGAUCUAUCAAUCGUCAUCACAUCAUCACCGCCAGGUUGUUUCUUUUCAGUUAGGUGGUAAGAAUUGCUUGUACGCACAGAUUUUCUACUUUGAUGUUUCUGUUCUGUAUUACUCUAUGCCAUUCUGGUGUCAAUAGUACUUCACACUACAUGCUUACAACCUGUUCGACAGAAAGCCUGACUCCAUUGCUGAUAGUUCCUAUUGCAUUCUGUUUACCAAUGUCUUGAUAUUCAAUUGAAAUUGCGUUGGUUGUGUCUUUGCUAUAUUUCCUGCACAUAGUUGAUUGAAAUGUGAACUAAUUAGAUGUAUAGGUGAUGUAGGUCGAAUACUGUUCAUGAUUGUUUGCGUGGAUUGAAUCCUGUUCAUAUGUGAUUUUAUAUAUCAAAUGGUGCUAUUGCAUGUUACUUUGAGAUGUUGAGUCUGCCGAGGAGAAGGAGGAGUCUGUUCUGUACGUUCUUCUGCUUUGCUUGGUUCGUUGAGUAUUUCAAUGUCGAUGUAUACAGUUUUGUAGCUCUGUUCUAUAUGGGUUAGGUUGUUGUGAGUCCUUUUGUCUACCUCCUCAUGUGGUACAAGAAUGUGCACUUUGUAAUGUGUUCUUUCGAUGAAGUUCUGCUAAUUUCAAUCUGUAGACAUUGUGAUUGUGUCAACAUGCGGGCAUGUCUGGAUAGAUUUUGCUUCUUUCUUGAUAUUUUGUAAUGGAUGUCGAGAGUUCUUGGAUUUGGUCAGCAUUUACUAGAUUCAACAAUUGUUAAAAACGAAGCUACAGUUUGUAAAUGAUUAAGUGUUUUGUUUUCAUGCCUUUAAUGACCUAUGCUGUUUGCCAUUUUCACAUGAUUUUUUGUGAUUAGAUUCUAAAGUUGAUGCCUAAAUGAAAGUUGUUCAUUAGGUUCCAAUCUAUAUCAAAUAAAAAUUUCGUGAUAAUUGAAGAUCAUUUACCAAGGUCGAGUAUGUCUAGAAUAUCCCUGACCUUGUUUGAAAUUUUGCUAUUCUGAUUGAUUCUUUGUUUCGGAUGAUCUUUUGUGCAAAUGACCUAAUACGAGCUGGUUGCUGUGGUUUUCUGUGUUUGAUACCUUCAUGAGAGCUAAAGAUGGUUCGACUAGCUUUCCAACGAGCUAUAAUACACCCUGAUCCGAUAUCAUUAGCCAUAUGAAAUAUUCUUUAAAAGUUAGGAAGUAAUUUUGGAAAAUUGUUGUGUUUUGUUCUGAUGUGGAAAUUCGUAUGCCUAUUUUGACUGAUAUGCUUCGGUCCUUGGAACGAGCUGGUAGAUGAUGUUAUUAGGACUUAAUGUCUUAUUGUAAUAUAUUUCUCAAGCUUUCCAUAGACAUAUUAUAUGUGCAAUUUGACUAUCGUUUGCCCUGCUUAAUGAAUGUUACCAUAUCAAUGUUUGAUUUUGAAAUUCAAAGGAUAGAUUAGACUGAUUUUCAUUCAUGCUAUGAUUUCUAUGAUGAUUUUUUGACAAAGUUGUCUGCAUGAAACUUGUGCCUCAUUGUCUUCUUGACAUUUGAUACACGUGUUACAAGUUUCGCAUCAAUGCAUGGCAUAUCAUAUUUGAAUCUCGUUUGAUAUGAAUAUCAUGCAUUCAUUUGGCUAAUUGCAAUUGAAAUUUGUCAUGCAUGACAUUCUUAGGUCUAAGUCACUUUGCAAUGUUAAUGACUUGUGUGAUUUCUUUGCAUUCAGAUUUAGGGUUAAAUGUUUACCCAAACUUUUUUCGCAUUCAAUCUUAUGUGAUGUGCAAGUUUCACAUUUUUAUGCAUUGUCUAGGUGGUCUUACGAACCAUUAAACAUGCAUUGUAUUUUGUUUUGUUUGUGGCUGACACGUGCGAUUUCACAAAUAUCAAUUUUUGACCAUCAAUUAGAUCUUGAUUGGACUUGAACCCUAUUAGGAAGUCUUAAGAUUCAUCUUAAUCUUUCAGAUGAUGUUAAUUUUGCAUCAUUUACAUAUCAUUUGAUUAAGAAAUUUGUUUAUUUCAUUUGUACGCACCUAUUCAUAUGUUUCUUAGAUUAGGUUUAGAUUAGAACCCUAAAGAUGGAGAAUGUGUGAAGAUGGUGGAGGUCGAUGUCCAUUCCGACCAUUGUCAUGUACUAUUUGUUUUCCCGACAUAUGUCUCGGGUUCCAUGCAUUGUAUAAAACCCGACGAGUUGUGGGUUUCCUUUCUUUUCUUAGGAAUAGUUAAUAAUAGGAUAUAAUGAAAGUAAUCCACCACGCAUGAUUACUUAGUCUAGAAAUAACGAUCCUGAAAAUAUAAAAAGAAAUGCAUGGACAUGUUAGGAAAAAACAUAACAUAUUGUUUAGGUAUUGAAAGGGCAUUAAUGGAAAUAUUAGCGUAACCCAAGUCCCCGAACCUAAAUAUCUGGUUGCGUAGGAAUCGAGGGAACUCUCUCGACACUCGAUUGGGUUUUCUAGCCAACCCCCAAAGAAUCAGGCUAGUGGCGACUCCUAUAUAUUCUUAGGUUGUUAAACAAUUAGACCACAUAAAUAAGCCUGCUGUCACGCGGGGUACGAGCUUGGGAGAGCUCGCGAUCUCGUGAGGGAACUCUCGUGAUCAAGUACCCCUAAACCCGACCUUUCCCACCUUGGACUUUUCGAGGGGCGGCGAGAUCGGGUCGCGACAUUGAUCUAGUAAUUUAUAUAGAUGCAAUUUCUUGUCCCCAAUACAAUAUUUGGUUAGAUGCGACGAAGUACGAGAUGUAAUUCAUGAAGUGUAAUGGUGUUUGAGAACUUGUUAAAUUGUCUGAAGGUGACAAGCCCAUUGACUGCAAAUGGGUGUAUAAGAUUAAAAUGGACUCUAAAGGAAAAAUUGAGAAGUUUAAAGCUAAACUAGUAGCCAAGGGUUUCACUCAAAAAGAAGAAAUCAACUAUUAAUAAACUUUUUCCCUAGUCUUGUCUAAAGAUUCUUUUAGAGUGAUCAUGACAUUAAUAGCUCGUUUUGAUAUGAAGUUACAUAAGAUGGAUGUUAAAACUACAUUUCUAAAUAGAGACUUUGAUGAAGAGGUUUAUAUGAUGCAACCCAAAGGUUUUGCAACAGAUGAUUCAAAUAAACUUAUAUGUAGAUUGAAAAAUUUUAAGUAUGAUCUGAAGCAUGCUUUUAGACAAUGGUACUUGAAGUUUCAUAAUAUUAUCACUUCAUUCAGUUUUGUUGAAAACAAAAUAGAUUAGUGUAUGUACUACAAGCUAAAUGGGAGGAAAUUUAUUUAUCUCACACUUCAUGUAAACGAUAUCUUGCUUGUGAGCAAUGAUAUUGGAUUACGGCAUGAGACAAAGCGAAUGUUGUUGAAAAAAUUUGAAAUGAAAGGACCUUGGUGAUACGUCUUUUGUCCUUGACAUUCAGAUCUAUAUGAGUUGUUCUCGCUAUAUAUUGGUUUUGUCUCAAAUGGCAUAUGAUGAUCGUAUUUUGGAAAGAUUCAGUAUACAGUAUUGCAAACCAAGAAUUGCUUCGACGAUAUCGGUCAAAUCCAUGAUAUGAUCACUAGAUUGCUACCAAGAAAAUUUUGAGAUACUUAAAGAGGACAAUAAACUAUAUGCUAAUUUACAAAUAUGUUCAAGACUUACAGUUUAUAGGGUAUUUAGAUUUAGAUUUUGCUAACUAUUAGGAUAAUUUGAAGUUGACACAUGAUAUAUCUUUCCAUUAGUAAGAGGUGCAAUAUCAUAAAAAAGCGAGAAACAGAAAUCAAUAUCAUGUUCAACCAUACAAGCAGAGUUUGUAACAUGCUUUUCAAUUGCUUGACUCUAAAACCUUAUUAAUGAGUUAACCAUAUUUGAUUUUGUGAAUGGACCUAUAUCAUUGUAUUGUGAUAAUAACUUUGCAUUGUUGUUGAUCAACAACAAUGACAAAGGUCUUAAGGUAUCUAAGUAUGGGUAGUCAAAUUUUGAUCAUAAAUAAAUAGUUAAGAAUGGUGACAUUACAAUAGAGCAUAUUUUCAUAAAUGAUUUGGUUGCAGAUCUAGUAAAUUAAAGGCUUCGCCCUUGUAUGUUUGAAUGACAUGUUAUAAGCAUGGACUUAGAAGCAUCAUGAGAUAUUAUUUAGUGAGAUUUUUUUUUUUUUUUUGCUUUAAUAAAGUUUACGUAUGUGUUUAUUACAUUUAAUAAAGUAUUUAUGAGUGUAUUAUUAUUAUAUUGAAUACGUAUUGAUGAAAAUCUCAAGAUAUUGUGUAAACCUUAAGCAAAGGCUAGGGGCAUCCAAUUAUUAGCUUUAAUGAUAUGUUUUAUUACACAGAAAAAAAGGUUAAUCAUAAAGAUAAGACAUAUGUGUCACACCCCGAACCUCGAGCGUGCCAACACCCACCAUGGUCAUUCAAAUGCGACGUUCCCAGGACGCGUCGCUGACCCAAUCAAUUCUUUAAUGCACAUGCGGAAGUGUAUUACAAAACUGCUGACAAUAAAAUAUGAGAUAGGAAAGCAGGAAGCAAUUUCACAACAAUACAUUUCGUAAAUCAACGGAGUUACAAACGAAGGCCUAUAGCCAAAAGUCUACAAAAUACUAGCUCUUAAAAAGGAACUAUCCUACGACCUAUAAGUCGGACACGUUCUCCUAUCCUCUUGACUUCACCUCUGCAACUCCUCGAGGCCAACCAAAGCGAUCUAGUCGCUCUGUCCACUAGGGACCUGAAAAAAUUGGCCCACAACGGGGUGAGACAUUGUCUCAGCAAGUUCACCCCCUAAACCCAUAUUAGAAAGAAAAUACACCCUAUGAUGGCCUAUCCACGCCACACAAAGGACUUACCUUGUCUCAGUUCCUUCCUGCAGGUUAGCACAAUUCAAAUCAUUCAAUCAUGUUCAGAUCGCUCAAUCAUGUGUGGCGAUAAGAACUGAAACAAUCAGAAUGCAAUCACUUUCAUAUAACCAACAAUCACAGGGGUCCGGAUUAUAAGACCGAAUUGUUAUGACAUGUCCUAUACCAUGCCACACAAUUUCAUCCCAUAAUUUGGCUUGUUAACCAUACUCAGCAUGUGUUUCCAUUGUUAUUCAUUGCAACUUAAGGGCAUAGCCUACUCGCAAUUCGGCUAUACUGACAUUAAUGCCAGGCAUCGCCUCCCCCCAUGGAGUGCGGCUUCGUCACUACGUCGACGGCGUUUCCGAAUGAGUAUAGGCCCAGAAUCAACUGUGACCCAAGUCUGUUGUGUGGGGCCUCCCAUAUAGGGGCAAGUCUAGCUCAACAGCUCAAGACAAUUUCUCUUAAUUAUCACACAAUAAUUCAUACUCAGCCCAAGACACUUUGCAUUUCACUCAAGGCUUCCAUUAAAAUAAUAAUCCUUAAAAUGCAAUUUCGGUGUCAAACCUGACAUCCAGGAUUUUCUCAAUAAAAUCCAUAUUUUUCACAAUCAACACUCAAUUUGUAAUAUCCAACCAUCAAAUUAAUAAUUUGAAUAUACAACAACGAUCAUCGCGAAAUUCUAAGAAUUUAAGGUUUCGAUGAAAUUUUUGGAAUUUAAUAAAUAAUUAAAUUUAUUCCGAAAAUUAAUUAAAUAAUAAUAUUUUAAUAAUUCUAAAUAAUAUAAAAUAUUAAUAAAUAAUUAAAUAAUUUCGAAAUAUUUAUUUAUUCAAAAAUAAUCAAUUAAAGCCAAAUAAUCAUUAUCUAACAUAACCACCAAUUUAGCCCUAAUUAAACAUGCUUUAAAUUAAACCCCACCUUAAUUUAAUCUACACUUAAAUAAAUUAAACUAACCACCUAAUAACACUUAACUUAAAAUAAGCACACCUAAAGCAUCAUUAACCCUCUAAUCGAGGUUUAGUGAGUUAAACUCACCAGAAUCACUUUCCGAUGAGUCUUCGACGAAGACAAUGGCGAGGUGGUUGGAAAACCUCCUCGAGGCGGCACCAAAAGAGGAUCGAAUGGUGCCCAAAAUGAGCCUUAAAGAUCUGGAUUUGAGCUAGAACUCCAGCUCUUGACCUUGGUCGAAGGAGAGCUGUCUAGUGUGUGGCACCCCCGAUCUGGCAAGGUCGCCAUAGAUACCUGUUGCUCCACCUAAUGAAUACCAGUUACAUAUUUUUGUUUCGGGGUUAAAGAAUAACCGUAGUUCAUAGGCAUAUUUUUUUUUUCUUUAAAGAAUCUGGCGCAGCUCAUAGCAAAUAUAAGGACAAGUCACACCAUCCCUCUACUCCCAUAACGAUGAUACAAUGCACACCAACUACACACCAUAAGAAAAGAUAAUGCCGAUUCACUCUUAUUUAUAUUUUCAUGAUGGACAUCUUGAGUCGGUACAACCAAAAAGCCAAGACUUUUAGCUAAACUUGGCUACAGCUCAAAAGAGAGAUUUCGACCCCAUAUAUCGAUCACGUAUAACCCUCCAUCUACAAGUGUCGGCUAUCCCCAAAAAACGUCAGCUCCCACUCCUCACACGGGCCAUCACACCCAUCCUGGUGCCUUGGGCGGUGGUGGCGGCAACAUCCCCCACAUCACUUCGUUACGGCGGACGUGGAUAGACAAGAAUUCCUGGACAACCAGGCCCCCAGCCAGGCCCACGUCAUACAUCACAAGCACACGAACCCGUAUGAACAUCAAACUAGGGAUGGUGACACAAUCAAGCUCCGUACACUCGACCUCCACGUCAGAUGGAAGGCUGUAAAAGGUACCGCGUGACCGGAGGGAGCGACAUCUGUCUAAUCUAAAUGUUGGUCCCUAAAGGGGUGAGUAUAACCACUUAGCAGAUAAAAGAUCCAUUAAACUACUCAAUGCAUCAAACAGAACAAUCAAGGCAUCAUAAACAAAGCACAUAUCAUUCAUGCAUCCAAGCAUAACUUACCUUAUAGUCAUGCAUAUGUCAUCAUGCCAUAUGUGCAUAUACCAUCAUGCACUCAUCAUCAAGCAUUCAUGUAUAUCCAUGCCUUAUGUGCAUAUACCACCAUGCACUCAUCAUCAAGCAUUCAUGCAUAUCCAUGCCUUAUGUGCACAUACCACCAUGCACUUAUACAUAUUAUAUCAUACAACCAUGCAUACAUGUCACCAUACUAUGCAUGGUUCAAUUUCAACUUUUUAUCUUUCAAUUGGGUCACCACAUUUUUCUUUCCCGAGACCAGUAAUUGCAUCCCACAUUUUAUUGCUCACACCCAACUUGGCAUCGCGAGGAACCUCUAGCACACACCUCCGGGCAUCUCGAAACUCCCGAGGACAUCCGGCACACACCUUCGAGCAUCCAGUACUCACCUCCAGGCAUCCCGACACUCCUGGGGCAUCGUCGGCUCACACCUCCGACGGUAUCCUCAUUUAUCAUAAUUUAUAAUCACAUUUGUGUCUCAAUAUCAACAUGGCACAUGAUGUGAUGGCAAUAAGGUCAAUUUCAGCUUUUGAUUUUAUAUGUAAUGCCAAAUAUCAUCACAUGUGCAGCAAGAUUCAAUCACUUAAAAACAAUAUAAUUCAUGGGGCAAACUCAUGGAUUAUUGCUAUUAUUUUAGAGACGGAAUGCGUUCUUUUAAUUUACACUUCUUAAAAUUUAGUGAUUGGCCCUAAUAAUUUAUAAGAAUUUAAUACAUCAUAGACAAGCUCUAGAGGCAUUUAUCUCAGGAAGAACACAAUAGCACCAGAAUUUCAUACAAAACAGAAUAGUCCAUGCAUUACAGCUUUUGAAAUUCGCACAAUCCAGCUUGCGCAGUUUUAGGAAAUUUUUUAAUUAAAUACCCAAAUGACCUUAAAAAAUUAUGAAAUUAGAACAUGUGAUAUUCAAUACAUAAAGGCAGAUAUUUCAUAAAGAACACGUUUCCAAAAGAACCUCAUACAAAACGAUAUAGUCCACACAUUGCAACUUACAAAGUCUGAACACAUCAGAUAACAUAGUUUUAGAAACAUUUCUGAUUAAAUACCCAAAUGACCUUAAAAAAUUAUGAAAUUCGAAUAUGUGAUAGCCAAGACCAUAAGGUAGAUACUUUAUGAAGACAUCAAAGUCAUAUUCUUCCUAGGUAAUUAAAUAUUUACGAUUAAAACCCCUGUUCCUAGUACCGAAAUUUCCAGAUCCAAUCUUUCCAAAGAAUAACGAUUUCACCCACUUAUACUUGUUUUUUUUGUCCCAAAUUUGAGUAUGUUAUACUCCAAGAAGUCCUUUAAAACUUUCAUUUAGAAGUCAAGGCCAAAAUUCAAGUAGAACAUCACAUGCAACUCACUAGAACAUCCAAGAUCGAGCUGUUUUUCUCAAGAACAGUACACUAGACUAGAGCACCACUCUUAUAACUUCAAUUUUUCACAUUCCAUACAUCCGAAAUUGUUACCAUUCAAUCACACACACUAAGCACAGCAUGCAAGAGUAGAUUAAUGGAUCCCACUUGCCUCCAAACCGAGCAAACGGCGAGCACAACGGCGAGACACGACGGUGACGGAUGGCGGAUGAUCCUCCUCCUUCUCUCGCACGCACGGCUUCUCUCUUUCCCUCUUCCUCUCUCUCGGUUCCCUUUCUCUCUCGGAUGGUACUCUCUCUUUCUCCCCCUUUCCUUGCCUAAUCCGCCCCCUAUUUCCCCUUAAUUUCUUCCCUUCCAUCAUUAGCCAUCAUUAGAUUAUGCAUGACUUGCUACACUUGGCAACUAGGAAGGAACACAUGGCAUUUUCCAUGCAAGAUGGGCCUUCAAUUCGGCUGGGCUUAGGCCAGCUUGGCCGACGAUAGCUCUUCCUCUCCCUUGGGCUUUGCGGGUUAGGACCAUAUGGCCGAAUGGUGGGCGAUCGUGGGCUGGAUUUUUGGGCCAGCUUGGCCUAAGAAUUUUGGCCCACUUCCCCUUUAAUUAUCGAGUAAUUUCCUCCACUUAAAUAAAUUCCCAACUUACAAAAAUAAUAUGGCCAUAAAAUUUGUAGUCAUAGGUCCAUAGAUUUCAAUCUAUAACACACAUGGCCAAUGGUAGAAUUUUCUUUUCUAUCAAGUAAUUAUCCAUUAAAAGCUUGGCUAUAAAUCUCAUUGCAAAUUAUGGAUCAAAUGGCUAUAAUAUAACUUGAUGGUACUUCCAUAAUCUUUCCCUAGGUUGAAAUGUAUCUAGAGGUUACCAUGAAUUUUGGGAUGCCACAAUUCUCCCCUCCUUAGAGAAUUUCGUCCUCUAAAUUAGACAUCACUUAUAUCUCUUGAAACAAAUAAGGAUACUUUUCCUUCAUCGAUUUCUCACUCUCCCAUGUGGCUUCUUCCAUAUCAUGAUGUCGCCACAGUAUCUUUACUAACGGGAUUUUCUUGGUCCUAAGAACUUGCUCCUUUUGAUCUAGUACUUGCACAGGCUCUUCGAUGUACCUCACUUUCUCAUCUACUUUGAGGCUUCAUGAUCGAGUAUGUGACUAGGAUCCGGCUGGUAUUUGCUUAGCAUUGACACAUGAAAUACAUCAUGCAAAUUCCUCAAUUUUGGAGGUAGCGCCAAACGAUAAGCCACAUCUCCUAUUCUUUCAAGUAUCUCAAAAGGUCCAACAAAUCUAGGGCUUAACUUACCAUUCAUUCCAAAUUGAGAUAUUCAUUUCAUUGGAGAUACUUUAAGGAAUACAUGAUUUCUCACAUUAAACUCCAAAGGCCUUCUACGCCUAUCUGCGUAGUCUUUCUGUCUACUUUGUGCUGUUUUAAGUCUUUUCUUGAUAAUUUCGACAGCUUCAGUGGUAACUUGUACCAGUUCAGGUCCUGUCAAUUUCUUUUCACCUACUUCAUUCCAACAAACAAGAGUCCUACAUCUCCUUCCAUAUAAUGCUUCAUAGGGAGCCAUGCCUAUGCUUUUCUGAAAACUAUUAUUAUAAGCAAACUCCACCAAAUGCAAUCUUUCAUCCCAAUUCUCUUUAAAGUCAAUCACACAAGCCCUUAACAUAUCCUCUAAUGUCUGGAUUACUCUUUCUGUUUGUCCAUCUGUUUGAGGAUGAAAAGCAGUACUAAACUGGAGUUUAGUUCCUAAGGCAAUUUGAAGACUCCGCCAAAAGUUUGAAGUAAUUCUCGAGUCCUGGUCUAAGGUAAUAGUUACUGGAACACCAUGUAAGCAUACUACUUGACUUACAUAUAUAUCCGCAUAUUUGUCAAUUGGGUAGUCUAUGCAAACUGCUAGGAAAUGAGCAGACUUAGUCAAACGGUCCACUAUUACCCAGAUAGAGUCAUGACCACUUGAUGUCCUUGGCAAUUCUUGUACAAAGUCCAUUGUUAUAUGCUCCCAUUUCCAUUCUGGUAUGUCUAAUGGUCUCAAGAGUCCUGAAGGUUUGCGAUGUUCUGCUUUUACUUGUUGGCACGUCAAACAUUGAGAAACGUGCUUAGCCGUAUCUGCUUUCAUACCAUUCCACCAAAAUUGCUGAUGCAAAUUCCUGUACAUCUUUGUACUACCCGGAUGAACACUGUAAUUACUCCUAUGUGCCUCCAACAGAAUUUUCUUCUUUACUUCUUCGUUGUCGGGAACACAGAGUCGUCCCUAGCAUCUUACCACUCCAUCUUCAGAGACUUGAAAUUUUGGUCUUUUUCCUAAAGACACUGCAUCUUUCACUUUCAUAAUUUCCGGGUCAGACUCUUGCAAGAUCUUAACUUUCUGAAUAAUUUCAGGUUCAAUCCUUAAUGCACUAAGCAUACCGGUAAGAUAAUCCACUUUUAAUUUAAACUCUGAGUCCGUUACGGACUUUAACAAGCUCCAUUCCGCCAUUUUUAAACUGGCCAUCUCCAUAGUUGACUUACGACUAAGAGCAUCCGCUACUUUAUUUGUCUUCCUUGGAUGGUAUCAUAUCUCACAAUUAUAAUCCUUUAACUACUCCAUCCACCUCCUUUGUCUCAUGUUCUACUCCUUUUGUGAGAACAUAUAUUUCAAGGUCUUAUGAUCCGUAUAAAUCUCAAACUUUUCCCCAUAUAAGUAAUGCCUCCAUAUCUUCAAAGCGAACACUAUAGCUGCUAAUUCUAAAUCAUGCGUUGGGUAAUUUAGUUCAUGGGGUUUCAAUUGUCUAGAUGCUUAGGCUAUGACAUUGCCAUGUUGCAUCAAAACACAUCCCAGUCCUCUGUGAGAUGCAUCACUAUACACUGUAAAACCAUUAGAUCUAGUUGGUAUAGUCAGGAUUGGAGCCGAGGUUAAUUUUCUUUUAAGCUCCUGGAAACUCCUUUCGCAUUCCCCAUUCCAUUCAAACUUCGCGUUCUUUCGAGUCAAUUUUGUUAAAUGACCUGCCAAUCGUGAAAACCCUUCAAUAAACCUUCUAUAAUAACCAACCAGUCCUAAGAAACUCCGUAUUUCAGUGGGUGUUGUCGGUCUCGGCCAAUUUGUUACCAUCUCAACCUUCGCCGGGUCCACUGCAAUUCCUCCUCCUAAUACCACGUGCCCUAAAAAUAUUAUCUGGUCUAGCCAUAAUUCACACUUGCUAAAUUUGGCAUACAGCUUAUGAUCUCUCAGAGUUUGCAAAACUAUCCUCAAGUGUUGUUUAUGCUCUUUAGGCCCUCUCGAAUAUAUCAGGAUAUCAUCAAUAAAAACAAUCACAAACUAGUCUAAAUAAGGCUUAAAUACCCUAUUCAUUAGAUCCAUAAAUGCAGUCGGUGCAUUUGUCAAUCCAAAUGGCAUGACAAGGAACUCGUAGUGUCCAUAACGAGUCCUAAACGCAGUCUUAGGAAUAUCUUCUUUCUUAAUUCUUAGCUGAUGGUAUCCCGACUUUAAGUCAAUCUUAGAGAAGACCGAACUUCCCUAGAGUUGGUCAAAUAGGUCAUCAGUUCUAGGCAAAGGAUAUUUAUUUUUAAUGGUCACUUGAUUAAGUUGCCUAUGGUCAAUGCACAAGCGCAUCGACCCAUCUUUCUUUUUCACAAACAAAACUGGUUCACCUCAAGGUGAAGCAUUUGGCCUAAUGAAUCAUUUAUCAAGCAACUCUUGUAGUUGCAUUUUUAAUUCCUUCAAUUCGACUAAGGCCAUCCUAUACGGGGCUUUCGAUAUUGGUCCUGUUCCAGGCAUUAAUUCAAUUUCAAACUCAAUUUCUCGUUCCGGCGGUAAUCCAGGCAACUCCUCAGGAAAUACAUCUUGAAAUUCAUUAACCACUCGAAUUUCAUCAAGCUUAGGCUCUUCCUUAGUAUAAUCUUUAACCAUGGCCAGGUACCCUUAACAUCCUUUGUCAAGUAACACACGAGCUUCUAUUGCUGAAAUAAGUGCUAUAGAUAGGUUGGUCUGACCUCCCAAAAAUUCACAACUAGAUUGAUCAGGUAAAAUAAAUUGGAUCACUUUUCUAUAACAAUCUAUUUUGGCCCGAUAUUUAUGAAGCCAAUCCAUUCCUAUGAUAACAUCAAAAUCAUACAUAGCCAUUACGACCAAGUCUAUUUCCAUAUCCUUUCCUCCCAUUGUUAUCUUACAAUUUCCACACACCAGCGUAAACAAUACCAUAUUCUUUAAAGGCGUAGAAACACAAAAAGGCAUCUCAAGAGACGUAGUUUUUAUUUUACUCAACUGUUUAUAUCUUUCAGACACAAAUGAAUGCAUAGCACCCAUAUCAAAUAAUACAUAUGUCUUUUUAUCAUUUAUAAGGAUCGUACCUGAGAUAACAUUUUUGGAAGCUUCCGCUUCCUCUUGGGUGAUCGCAUACACUCUUCCCUGUGCUGGUGGUCUCUGUGGAUUCCUUUGUGGAUAUGGUCUAGCAAUACGUUGUGGUACUCGUCGCAUUGCGUUAAUACUUGGCUGCGACCUCUCUUGUGGACAAUCCUUCUUAAGGUGCCCUACCUGUCCACAACCAUAGCAUUUCAGUUGUUCAUUACAAGGUCCUAUGCCAUGUCACCCAUCACACCUUCGACAUUCUUCAUUUCGAUAAGGUGUUCUUCCUAGAUUCAGGCCAUCCCUGCCUUUUCCAAAAUUUCCAAAAUUGCCCUUCUUCUUAGACUCCCAGGUCUGACCUUGACUUGUAUAGGGUCUCUUAUCCCGUCUCAUAUCACCAAAAGAUGAUUGUCUCUUAUUCUCCGACUGUUCCUUUACUAACUCCUGCUCCACCAAUUGUGUCCUUUCAUAGAUCUCAUUAUAAUCUCUUAUGUUCAAAGGCACCAGUUGUUUCCUGAUAUCGGUUCUCAACCCUUUCAGAAACCUCUUAGCUUUCUCUUCUUGAUCCUCAAUUAGUCUAGGAGCAUAUCUAGACAGUUCAGAAAAUCUUGCCUCAUAUUGAUCCACUGUCAACUUCUUUUGUUCUAACUGAACAAAUUAUGUAAUUUUCUUGUCCUUAGCACAGUCAGAAAAAUGCUUUCUAUUGAAAGUUCUGACAAACUCAUCCCAGCUAACAUCAGUACCUGGUGGAAAGAUUGUGUCCCUCGAAGCUCUCCACCAAAACUUUGCAUUUCCCUCUAGCUGGUACUCUGCCAAAGUUAUUUUCUCAGCAUCAUUGUAGUCCAACAACCAGAAAAUUCGUUCCAUCUCAUCAAUCCAAUGCUCCGCCUCCUCAGGACUUCCCAUUCCACUAAACUUAAGUGGUUUCAACAUCAAAAAUUUCUCUACCAGUCCUUGAGUACAGCAUUUUGCUCCGGGCUGUUGCUGCGCUUGUCUUUCCAUCAGAUUUCCUAUAUUGGCCAAUGCCAGCAGGAUAUCUUCCAUCCAGGGUUCAGCCCUUGCUGCAGAGGCCUCAGCCCUCGAUGGAUGAUGAAUUCCAUAUCGUACCAUGAUUUUCCUGCAGUUUCCAAGCAUUUGCCUCAGGAAAUAUCUGACUCAAUGUUUUCAUUAAAAACAAUAGCAACUAAGGAAAAAUGAGUAACAUAACCUUGUUACUGGCACCUAAAAGCAACUCCUAAUAACCACUGGGGAUCUACGAGUGAAUACUCAUCACCCAUUAUUCAAAGUUACCCAACUAUUCCAGCUAAUAUCCUAUGGUGUGCAUUGUUAUCAUGUUCCUCAAUUUCCAAAUGAGGCUCCUUAUCACUCCAAUCUAUAACCAUUACUCUAAUACCAACCGCUAUGGCACCCCCGAUCUGGCAAGGUUGCCACAGAUACCUGUCACUCCACCUAAUGAGUACCAGUUACAUAUCUUUGUUUCGGGGUUAAAGAAGAACCAUAGUUCAUAGGCAUAUAUAUUAAAGAAUCUGGCGCAGCUCAUAGCGAAUAUAAGGACAAAUCACAUUAUCCCUCUACUCCCAUAACGAUGAUACAAUGCACACCAACUACGCACCAUAAGAAAAUAUAAUGCCGAUUCACACUUAUUUAUAUUUUCAUGAUGGAUAUCGUGGGUCGGUACAACAAAAAAGCCAAGACUUUUAGCUAAACUUGGCUACAGCUCAAAAGAGAGAUUUUGACCCCCUGUAUCGAUCAUGUAUAACCCUCCAUCUACAAGUGUCGGCUAUCCCUAAAAACCGUCAGCUCCCACUCCUCACGCGGGCCAUCACACCCAUCCUGGUGCGUCGGGCGGUGGCGGCAGCAACAUCCCCCGCAUCACUCCAUCAUGGCGGACGUGGACAGACAAGAAUUCCUGGACAACCGGACCCUCAGCCAAGCCCACGUCAUACAUCACCAACACACGAACCCGUAUAAACAUCAAACUAGGGAUGGUGACACAAUCAAGCUCCGUACACUCGACCUCCACGUUAGAUGGAAUGCCAUAAAAGGUACUCCGCGUGACCAGAGGGAGUGACAUAUGUCUAAUCUGAAAUGUUGGUCCCCAAAGGGGUGAGUACAACCACUCAGCAGGUAAAAGAUCCAUUAAACUACUCAAUGCAUCAAACAGAACAAUCAAGGCAUCAUAAACAAAGCACAUAUCAUUCAUGCAUCCAAGCAUAACUUACCUUGCAGUCAUGCAUUUGUCAUCAUGCCAUAUGUGCAUAUACCAUCAUGCACUCAUCAUCAGUCAUUUCCUAGCUGAAUUCUCAAAUCUAAUGCGUUAGAAUUCCUUAACGGUUUCACCCGAUAGACUAGUUAUCCCAUAAGUGAUCAGUUCAGGGAAAAGAACUAUAAGCGCAUCGAUGAAAUGCCCAACUAUUUCGAUUGAAAUUAAAACCUGAAAUUCAGUAUGUCACAAUAUGUAUAUUCAUUGGAACUAUAAAUGUAUUCUCUAGUAACACAUCAAGUUUUGCUACACUUAAGGAGAAAGAAUGGUGAUUGACAAAGGGGAUGAGACGUAAGGUGCUAUUCUCUAUGAGGUAUUAUCCAUUUGUUACAUUGCCAUAAAUAUAUAUUAAUAGAGUUAAAAGCACUUGUAACCAUGGAAAGUUUUGUGUGUAUACAAGUAGUUCUUGUUAUGAUUCGAUAUUUGAGACUUUAUGGAAUCGGAUUGAUUGUUAAUAAUUAUCCCUAGAUCAACAUACAUAUGUGCACAUAUAGUACAAUUUCAAUUAAUACAACCCAGGUGAAAGAAUGUAAAAGUUUUUCUAAUGUGGGCUGUAUUAAUAAAUAUUGCAAUUUACUGUUUUAUGGAAUUGGUAAAGCGAUCUAUAAUGAUUCUUAAUUAAUCUAAUCUGUGACUAACUAGUAUGGGCUCAGUAAAGCCCGGUUUGUGAUGAGAGAACCGUGGCUUAAAACCCUAUACAUAGUGUUUAAAUCUCUCUUUUAACCCUAACACACAAAAAUCCUCAAAUAAGGAGCAGUUAUUGUACACAAGGGGUGAUAAGCAGUUUCAUUGAGCUAGUGAUAUAGAGAACUCUAGAGAAGAAAUGCUUGAGCUUUGGAUCGUCCUUGUUCCGCAUUAAAAACAAUGGAUUCUAAAUAAGAUGUGUAAAUCUCUUUUACUCGAUUAUAUGUAUUUUUGAUUCUACCUAUGCAGAUCUUGGGUGUUGUUUUUACGAUUUACACAAUUUACAAAUCACAUCCGCAUCUGUAUGUAAUUCGUGUCAAGUUAAUGUACCUAUCACUUCUAUCUCUUUCUAUCAUAUUCAUUCAAGCAUUUUCUCUGUACUUCAGGUUUCCCGUCUCUCUUGUUCCUGCAGAUUAAACAAGGAACCGUGUUAAAUACAUUCAAUGUACAUUCAUGAAGGAGUGUUCCUAUGUCCACCUACAUCUUGGAAUGAUUAUUCGUUUCCUAUAUGUCUAAAACAAAUAUUUUAGGACAUGGUCCGUGGAUCCUCAAUAGUAAUGGAGUAUAAAAAUACAUUGUGCCAAUGCAUCAAACCUGUCCUACGGUGAAUCUUCUUUUUGCGCAAUUACUUGUAAUCCUCCGAUCAAUGCUGCCUUUGCGGCAUCAUCUAGCAAAUACCAAAGUUCUGGCAUCAUAUAACAUUGUGGUGUUUCGAAUAAAUAUGACACAGCACCUUUUGUCAGUCGAGAGUCAAGGGUAACAUUGGAAAAUCGUAGGAUGACACGCAAUAAUCUACAUCGUCGAAAGUCUUCUCAAUGCACCAAUCGUACAACCGAUACAAAGGGAAAGAGCCGACUCCAAGAUAGAACGUAGCUGAAAGACAAGCCAGAGAACGAGAGUGCAGCGAUACAAGACUAUCCACUGACUAAGGCACGAGAGAUCGCGCUGAUAGCGUACGUAUAAUCAGCACAGCUAUUAUUCGUAAUGCAUAACGAGCACAUGUAGGGACGCAUCAUCUACUACACUCAGUUCUCGGUGGGAGGCUUGUGUGGCGGCUUCUCUCCCUUCCCCUUCUUCGGUUCCUCCCCUUUCUUCGGUGGCUUGUGCUCGGGGAUUGGCUUCUUCGCAUCCUCUUCCACCUCCUCUACGAGAAUGUGCCCCUCGUGUGGUGGCUUGCCUCCCUUUCCCUUCUUUGGCGGCUUGUGCUCGGGAACAGGCUUCUUCGAGUCCUCUUCCACUUCCUCGACAAGAAUGUGGCCCUCAUGGGGUGGCUUGUGCUUUGGAGGUGGCUUCUCUCCCUUCCCCUUCUUUGGCUCCUCACCUUUCUUUGGUGGCUUGUCCCCAGGGAAUGGCUUCUUCGAGUCCUCUUCCACCUCCUCGACAAGAAU